rnacentral:rRNA from 1 species
AACGAACGCUGGCGGCGUGCCUAACACAUGCAAGUCGAGCGCGAAAAGGGCAACCUGAGUAGAGCGGCGCACGGGUGCGUAACACGUGGGUAAUCUGCCUUAGAGUCGAGGAUAACCUUCCGAAAGGUUGGCUAAUACUCGGUAAGCUUACGGUGUCUUCGGACGCUGUGGGAAAAGUAGGCCUCUGUUUACAAGCUUACGCUCUGAGAUGAGCCCGCGGCCCAUCAGCUAGUUGGCGGUGUAACGGACCACCAAGGCAACGACGGGUAGCUGCUCGGAGAGACCGAUCGGCCACACGGGACUGGGAACCCGGCCAAAACCCUUCCGGAGGGAACAGGGGGGAAAUUUCCCAAAAUGGGCAAAGGCCGAUGGAGCAAAGCCGCGGUUUUGAUGAAGGGUUUCGGAUCGUAAAGCACUUUCGACUGGGACGAAAAACCUUUGGCUAACAUCCAGGGGCCUGACGGUACCAGGAGAAGAAGCACCGGCUAACUCUGUGCCAGCAGCCGCAGUAAAAC